AUUGAACGCUGGCGGCAGGCCUAACACAUGCAAGUCGAGCGGAUGAAGGGAGCUUGCUCCUGGAUUCAGCGGCGGACGGGUGAGUAAUGCCUAAGAAUCUGCCUGGUAGUGGGGGAUAACGUCCGGAAACGGGCGCUAAUACCGCAUACGUCCUGAGGGAGAAAGUGGGGGAUCUUCGGACCUCACGCUAUCAGAUGAGCCUAGGUCGGAUUAGCUAGUUGGUGGGGUAAAGGCCUACCAAGGCGACGAUCCGUAACUGGUCUGAGAGGAUGAUCAGUCACACUGGAACUGAGACACGGUCCAGACUCCUACGGGAGGCAGCAGUGGGGAAUAUUGGACAAUGGGCGAAAGCCUGAUCCAGCCAUGCCGCGUGUGUGAAGAAGGUCUUCGGAUUGUAAAGCACUUUAAGUUGGGAGGAAGGGCAGUAAGAUAAUACCUUGCUGUUUUGACGUUACCAACAGAAUAAGCACCGGCUAACUUCGUG
rnacentral:rRNA from 1 species